GAUGAACGCUAGCGAUAGGCUUAACACAUGCAAGUCGAGGGGCAGCAUUAUUUUAGCUUGCUAAGAUAGAUGGCGACCGGCGCACGGGUGCGUAACGCGUAUGCAACCUGCCUGUAAUUAGGGAAUAACCCGGUGAAAGUCGGACUAAUACCCUAUAUUCUUCUUUCUCCGCAUGGGGGAGGACGGAAAGAUUUAUUGAUUACAGAUGGGCAUGCGUCCCAUUAGCUGGUUGGUAAGGUAACGGCUUACCAAGGCAACGAUGGGUAGGGGGACUGAGAGGUUGACCCCCCACACUGGUACUGAGACACGGACCAGACUCCUACGGGAGGCAGCAGUGAGGAAUAUUGGUCAAUGGGCGAGAGCCCUGAACCAGCCAAGUCGCGUGAAGGACGACGGUUUCUAUGGAUUGUAA
rnacentral:rRNA from 1 species